AAAACGACUCUCGGCAACGGAUAUCUCGGCUCUCGCAUCGAUGAAGAACGCAGCGAAAUGCGAUACUUGGUGUGAAUUGCAGGAUCCCGCGAACCAUCGAGUUUUUGAACGCAAGUUGCGCCCGAAGCCUUUUGGCCGAGGGCACGUCUGCCUGGGUGUCA
rnacentral:rRNA from 1 species